UUUAUCAUUACUAUCUUGCAGCAGCUGUUGUGCAGCAGUAUUUUGUUUCACAUCCUCACAUAUUUUCCUUCCCUCUGUGGUCAAAGGCUAAACUCUGGAUGGCUUCUGCGCUGCUGGAAAGUGAGAGGAAAGGUGUCAGUCCCCUCCAAGCGGUAAGAAGGAGGCGGUCUCCUACUGGACCUUGAAUGUCACCAUACUGAGAGCAGAAACACAUCAGUCCAGAGAUUACUGGUCUGAAUCGGACUGCUACGUCAUUCUCUCUCUGCCCACGGCAACGGCAAUAACCUACCGCACAGCAACUGUGUCAAACACUAACAACCCGGAGUGGGAUGAAACCUUUACCUUCAGGGUCCCCACCAAUGUCAAAGUGAGUCAAUGACGACUGCAUCACUAUUCAGUUCACCCUCGAAAGAACCACUUCACCCACUCUAUCCUUUAAUAUUUAAAUAACAAUACAAUCUAUCCUCACUGC